GCCAGGCGUAGUGGUGCAUGCCUGUAAUCCCAGCUGCUUGGGAGGCUGAGAGAGGAGGAUUGAGAGUGUCAAACCAGCCUCAGCAACAGUGAGGCACUAAGCAACUCAGUGAGAUCCUGUCUCUA
rnacentral:sRNA from 1 species